GGCAUGGUGGUGCAGUGGGUAGCACUGCUGCCUCACAGAAGGAGGUUGUGGGUUCAAAUCUGGCUUUGGGCCU